ACUUAGCAACGGGCUGCAAGAAGAGACGACUUCGGAGGGCCCAGGGUCCUUUGAGCUCCUAGAGGUCCCGUGUGGAACCAUCUGGAAGAGAUUUUUUACCAUUGAGAUGUUUAUGGAAGAAAGUUUGAAUUUGCUGCCAGGCAUCUACCUGUGCCUUUGAGUGAGCCUUUGGCUCACCUCCAUAGAAUAUUGCCUCACCCAAAACAGCGUGCACAGAAGCUCUAGAAGGAGGAAAAUAAGGUGGGUCAAUACAGUGACCAGUUUCUGGGUAACAGAUUAUCUGGGGUCUUUCUUUCCCAUGAGCUUGUAGCCUUUCAGAGGCUAUCUGAGCAUAGAAUUCACUCUUCCAGCUUUGAUCAUCCAUGCCAACAAUAAACAAGAAGGGCACCUGCGCCUUUUCCAAUGGAACAAGACUUUGGUGAUUGUGUUCCUCCAGUGGAUUGCUCCAAGUGUCCAUAAAAG
rnacentral:lncRNA from 1 species